rnacentral:rRNA from 1 species
CUGGGAUAAGCGNUGGAAACGGCGUCUAAUACCGGAUACGAGGUNCGAAGGCAUCUUCAGCAGCUGGAAAGAACUUCGGUCUGGGAUGGGCUCGCGGCCUAUCAGCUAGUUGGUGAGGUAACGGCUCACCAAGGCGUCGACGGGUAGCCGGCCUGAGAGGGUGACCGGCCACACUGGGACUGAGACACGGCCCAGACUCCUACGGGAGGCAGCAGUGGGGAAUAUUGCACAAUGGGCGAAAGCCUGAUGCAGCAACGCCGCGUGAGGGAUGACGGCCUUCGGGUUGUAAACCUCUUUUAGCAGGGAAGAAGCGAAAGUGACGGUACCUGCAGAAAAAGCGCCGGCUAACUACGUGCCAGCAGCCGCGGUAAUACGUAGGGCGCAAGCGUUAUCCGGAAUUAUUGGGCGUAAAGAGCUCGUAGGCGGUCUGUCGCGUCUGCUGUGAAAACCCGAGGCUCAACCUCGGGCCUGCAGUGGGUACGGGCAGACUAGAGUGCGGUAGGGGAGAUUGGAAUUCCUGGUGUAGCGGUGGAAUGCGCAGAUAUCAGGAGGAACACCGAUGGCGAAGGCAGAUCUCUGGGCCGUAACUGACGCUGAGGAGCGAAAGGGUGGGGAGCAAACAGGCUUAGAUAACCCUGGUAGUCCACCCCGUAAACGUUGGGAACUAGUUGUGGGGUCCAUUCCACUGAUUCCG